rnacentral:rRNA from 1 species
AAGUCGAGCGAACAGACGAGGAGCUUGCUUCUCUGACGUUAGCGGCGGACGGGUGAGUAACACGUGGAUAACCUACCUAUAAGACUGGGAUAACUUCGGGAAACCGGAGCUAAUACCGGAUAAUAUAUUGAACCGCAUGGUUCAAUAGUGAAAGACGGUUUUGCUGUCACUUAUAGAUGGAUCCGCGCCGCAUUAGCUAGUUGGUAAGGUAACGGCUUACCAAGGCAACGAUGCGUAGCCGACCUGAGAGGGUGAUCGGCCACACUGGAACUGAGACACGGUCCAGACUCCUACGGGAGGCAGCAGUAGGGAAUCUUCCGCAAUGGGCGAAAGCCUGACGGAGCAACGCCGCGUGAGUGAUGAAGGUCUUCGGAUCGUAAAACUCUGUUAUUAGGGAAGAACAAAUGUGUAAGUAACUAUGCACGUCUUGACGGUACCUAAUCAGAAAGCCACGGCUAACUACGUGCCAGCAGCCGCGGUAAUACGUAGGUGGCAAGCGUUAUCCGGAAUUAUUGGGCGUAAAGCGCGCGUAGGCGGUUUUUUAAGUCUGAUGUGAAAGCCCACGGCUCAACCGUGGAGGGUCAUUGGAAACUGGAAAACUUGAGUGCAGAAGAGGAAAGUGGAAUUCCAUGUGUAGCGGUGAAAUGCGCAGAGAUAUGGAGGAACACCAGUGGCGAAGGCGACUUUCUGGUCUGUAACUGACGCUGAUGUGC